CCUUUACUAUAGCUUGACACUGAACAUUGAGCCUUGAUGUGUAGGAUAGGUGGGAGGCUUUGAAGCGUGGACGCCAGUCUGCGUGGAGCCAACCUUGAAAUACCACCCUUUAAUGUUUGAUGUUCUAACGUUGGCCCCUUACCGGGGUUGCGGACAGUGUCUGGUGGGUAGUUUGACUGGGGCGGUCUCCUCCCAAAGCGUAACGGAGGAGCACGAAGGUUAGCUAAUCCUGGUCGGAC
rnacentral:rRNA from 1 species